GGAGAGGAUGACUCUCAGCAGCUGCAAGCUUCUGUUCCAUCAGCUAAGGGACUUCAGAGGAGCACAGAGGGCCCCUUGGCCCAGGGUGCCAGCACCUGACCUGGGACUCACUCUGAUUGGCCUGGCUUGGGAGGAAGGCUACACCCUGAGCCAAUCUCUGAGGUCUGGGGUGGAACUUUGAUUGGAUGGGCUCUGGUCACCUGCCCACAAUGUGGAAUUGUAGGGGUAAGGGGAGGAUCAGCUCCACCUGAAUCCUAGGAGCAGAGUUAUGUGUCAGUUUGCUAGCUCUGCUAUGACAAACUACCACAGAAGGGGUGUCUUAAGUAACAAGAAGUUAUCUCCCCACUGUAUGGAGACAGGAAGUCCAAGAUCAAGAUCUUGAGGAUCUUCCCGACUCGUGGGAUUGAACCCACGUCUCUUGCGUCUGCUGUAUUGCAGGUGGAUUCUUUACUGCUGAGCCACCAGGGAAGCCACGUACAGCUAUUUUGUGGAGUGUCUUCCCUACUGGACUCCCCAGGUGGUGCCAUGGUAAAGAAUCUGCCUGCUAAUGCAGGAGACACAAGAGAUGCGGGUGCAGUCACUGACUCAGGAAAAUCCCCUGGAGAAGGAACUGGCAGCCCAUUCCAGUAUUCUUGCCUGGAGAAUCCCAUGGACAGAGGAGUCUGGCAGGCUGCAAUCCAUGGGGUCAUAAAGAGUUGGACACGACUGAAAAGACAAACACACACACAUCCUCCCUAUGCAUGUGUGCUGAGAACAAGAUGUUUUGUUUUUAGGGUGUUUUUUUUAAAACUACUCUGUUUAAUUGUUAAAAAAAAAACCCACCCGCACAUUGUAGAUGAUCAAUAAAUAUCUAUGA
ensembl:lncRNA